rnacentral:lncRNA from 1 species
GCUGCUGGGUUUUCAUGAUGGGAAUGGGAUCAGCUCUUUGUUUUUGAUGGGUAGCAUAGUUUGCUUUUGAUUACAUGAGGCAUUUGUACAUUUUGAGUGAAUUAAAAUUGACCAAUAUGGGUUGUCAUUUUUUUGAUAUCUUUACAAUUCCUGGGAAUUCUCACUGCUCUUGAAUCCCAAAGCAGGUCAUUAAAACUCUUUUUAAUCCCAUUUUUACAAACCCCGGGAAUUCUCACUUUGCUUAUAUUUAAACAUUUGCUUACAUAUGCCAAGUUAUAGGGGUUGCUCCCAGAGCUGCAAUCAAAUUCAAAGGUAAGCUUCUUUCCUCUUUUUAUACAAAAUCAGAGAGAUGGGUUAGAAAAUUUGUGGGCAAUGAAUCAACCUAUAUGUUAGAAAAUUUUGAUUCAUUGGAUCUUUUAGGAAUCAAACAUUAGUGUGCACAUUAGCUGUUUGAAUAAAUGAUCCAAAUGCAAUUUUUUGGCAAAUGUCUCAUGCAUUUUACCUCUUUGAAUAGGUUCACUUCCAACAAUGGCUAAUUCUUAGGGUUUUGUGUUUUGUGACUUCCGUGGGGAUAUGCUGUCUUUGACUGCAACUGCAUAUGUGAAACCCAGCCAAUUACCCUUGUGCAAAUUUCAGCAACCUAUGCAACUUAGAGCUUUAUUUGCAUGCGUAGUUUUAAACAUUUGCUAGAGACAUGAGAACAUUUCUAGUUAUUUUCUACAUGAUAAGAGGUCGAAUGUGUUCUGCUAUAUGUUGCUGUGCAAAGUGGUUACAAAGCUCUUGCUUGUAAAUGAUUUUGCUAGAGUUCAGUUUUUGGUCUG